CAGUACUUAUGAAAGAAGAUCCAAGUCUAAAGAUUGAGCUUUUACGACACUUAGAAUUGGCUUGUGCUUGUUUGGAUGAUCGGCCACGGAGACGACCUACUAUGAUUCAAGUCAUGGCAAUGUUUAAAGAAAUUCAAGCAGGGUCAGGCCUCGACUCAAAAUCCUCCAUUACCAACGAAGAUGGAGGCUUUGAAAUGAUAGACUAAGCAUAAAAGAAGACCCUGAACUAGGGAAGCAAUAGGCAAAAGAAGGAAGCUGAAUCAAAAUUUCCAGUGAAUUCUUUGAAAGCAAAAGAAGAAGAAAGAAGGUGGUGAUGAUUGAUCCUUCUGCCACCACAAAAUUUUCCCUCUUCUUUUACAACUUGAAAAUGGCAUAAAAAGAAC
rnacentral:misc_RNA from 1 species